rnacentral:rRNA from 1 species
ACGAACGCUGGCGGCGUGCUUCACACAUGCAAGUCGAACGCUGAAGCUCAGCUUUUGUUGGGUGGAUGAGUGGCGAACGGGUGAGUAACACGUGAGUAACCUGCCUCCUUCUUUGGGAUAACGCCCGGAAACGGGUGCUAAUACUGGAUAUUCACUGGUCUUCGCAUGGGGGUUGGUGGAAAGGGUUUUUCUGGUGGGGGAUGGGCUCGCGGCCUAUCAGCUUGUUGGUGGGGUGAUGGCCUACCAAGGCUUUGACGGGUAGCCGGCCUGAGAGGGUGACCGGUCACAUUGGGACUGAGAUACGGCCCAGACUCCUACGGGAGGCAGCAGUGGGGAAUAUUGCACAAUGGGCGCAAGCCUGAUGCAGCGACGCCGCGUGAGGGAUGGAGGCCUUCGGGUUGUGAACCUCUUUCGCUCAUGGUCAAGCCGCAACAAUGGUUGUGGUGAGGGUAGUGGGGAAAGAAGCGCCGGCUAACUACGU